rnacentral:rRNA from 1 species
GUAGGGUGCAGGCGUUAAUCGGAAUUACUGGGCGUAAAGCGUGCGCAGGCGGCUCCUUAAGUCAGAUGUGAAAGCCCCGGGCUUAACCUGGGAACUGCGUUUGAAACUGGGGAGCUAGAGUGUAGAAGAGGGGGGUGGAAUUCCAGGUGUAGCAGUGAAAUGCGUAGAGAUCUGGAGGAACACCGAUGGCGAAGGCAGCCCCCUGGGCUAACACUGACGCUCAUGCACGAAAGCGUGGGGAGCAAACAGGAUUAGAUACCCUGGUAGUCCACGCCCUAAACGAUGUCAACUGGUUGUCGGGGAAGUAAUUCCUUGGUAACGAAGCUAACGCGUGAAGUUGACCGCCUGGGGAGUACGGCCGCAAGGCUA